rnacentral:rRNA from 1 species
UCAAGCGACUAAGCGUACACGGUGGAUGCCUUGGCAACUAGAGGCGAUGAAAGACGUUGUAGCCUGCGAUAAGCUACGGUGAGGUGGCAAACAACCUUUGACCCGUAGAUCUCUGAAUGGGGAAACCCACGACUUAGGUCGUAUCCUGCACUGAAUACAUAGGUGUAGGAGGCAAACCCGGGGAACUGA